UACGUAGGGCGCAAGCGUUAUCCGGAAUUAUUGGGCGUAAAGAGCUCGUAGGCGGUUUGUCGGGUCUGCCGUGAAAGUCCGGGGCUCAACUCCGGAUCUGCGGUGGGUACGGGCAGACUAGAGUGAUGUAGGGGAGACUGGAAUUCCUGGUGUAGCGGUGAAAUGCGCAGAUAUCAGGAGGAACACCGAUGGCGAAGGCAGGUCUCUGGGCAUUAACUGACGCUGAGGAGCGAAAGCAUGGGGAGCGAACGGG
rnacentral:rRNA from 1 species